UACAGAGGUCUCUACCGUUGUUCGGAUUCAUUGGGCGUAAAGGGUGCGUAGGCGGUCGGGUAAGUCGGAUGUGAAAUCUCGGGGCUCAACCCCGAAACUGCACUUGAUACUGCCUCGCUUGAGUACUGGAGAGGAGACUGGAAUUUACGGUGUAGCAGUGAAAUGCGUAGAUAUCGUAAGGAAGACCAGUGGCGAAGGCGAGUCUCUGGACAGUUACUGACGCUGAGGCACGAAGGCCAGGGGAGCAAACGGG
rnacentral:rRNA from 1 species